rnacentral:rRNA from 5 species
UGACCUCGGAUCAGGUAGGAAUACCCGCUGAACUUAAGCAUAUCAAAA